rnacentral:rRNA from 1 species
GACGAACGCUGGCGGCGUGCUUAACACAUGCAAGUCGAGCGGUAAGGCCCUUUCGGGGGUACACGAGCGGCGAACGGGUGAGUAACACGUGGGUGACCUGCCCUCAGCUCUGGGAUAAGCCUGGGAAACCGGGUCUAAUACCGGAUAUGACUCCAUGACGCAUGUUGUGGGGUGGAAAGCCUUGUGCGGCUGAGGAUGGGCCCNCGGCCUAUCAGCUUGUUGUGGGGUGAUGGCCUACCAAGGCGACGACGGGUAGCCGGCCUGAGAGGGCGACCGGCCACACUGGGACUGAGACACGGCCCAGACUCCUACGGGAGGCAGCAGUGGGGAAUCUUG